CCGCGCGUAGAGGAUCCACAAUCCACUGCCUUUAAUCCACUUGGCUACGUCCGCC
rnacentral:tRNA from 1 species